AACGGUCUAUACCUGCGGUACCUGCGGAAGGAUCAUUAGUGAACGCCCUCACGGGCUUAUAACUGUUCCAAACCUCUGUGAACCGUGCCCUUCGGGGCUAUUUUACAAACAUGGUGUAAUGAACGUCAUAUAUCAUAACAAAACAAAACUUUCAACAAUGGAUCUCU
rnacentral:misc_RNA from 1 species